rnacentral:rRNA from 1 species
UACGUAGGGUGCGAGCGUUAAUCGGAAUUACUGGGCGUAAAGCGUGCGCAGGCGGUUUUAUAAGCCAGAUGUGAAAGCCCCGGGCUCAACCUGGGAAUGGCAUUUGGGACUGUAAGGCUGGAGUAUGGCAGAGGAGACUAGAAUUCCUGGUGUAGCAGUGAAAUGCGUAGAUAUCAGGAGGAAUACCGAUGGCGAAGGCGGCUGCCUGGACCGAUACUGACGCUGAGACGCGAAAGCGUGGGGAGCAAACAGG